AUCAAAAAAGCUUUUAUAGCGUUUCACUUACACUGAAAAAAUUCUACUAAAAUAUGUAAUAAAAUUUUAGUA
rnacentral:tRNA from 1 species